UAGUCGACGCCAUUUUACAUAUUGUUGAAAUGUUAUUAGAAAAUUGAGCUCCGUUAUAUUUCGUGUUUAUUAAUUAAAUAAAGACUUUGUUAAUUAACAAUUUGUGUUUUUCGUAUUGAGCAAAUUGUCGCGAACAAAUUGAGUAUAAGUAUGUCGGUUGGAACUAGUUUGGUUUUACAAUAAUAUCUGGAUAUUGGUGACAGCUCAACUCCAACCAAAAGCUGUCAAUUCACCAGAACUACUGAUGAUACAUCAUGAUGGAAAACAAUAGAAAUUCUUGCGGAAUAAAUAACAGAUGCAACAAUUCCAAAUCUUGUGACAGGCAGAGAAUAUGAAUUUAUGAUUUCAAGUUAAGAUGAAUGAUGAUAAAAUGGUUUCGUAAAUCAUUACGUGUUUUGACUCAAUCAAAAAUUGAAGAGACCAAAUCCAAGGAAGGAAACAAAGUUGAAGGAAAGCUUCUGAAUUACAAGAAACACCAGAAAAUAUUAGAGUUUAAGUAAUUGGAAAAGGAUAUUUGUUAACAUGGGAUCUACCAUUAAAAAGAAGAAAUUCAUCAACAAAUUAUAUUCUUACAUGGUUUCACGAAGCAACUGAUAGUAUUUAUGGAGAAAUAAAAAAUGCAGAUACUUUUCACUUAGACCUACUGAUACAUCAGGGUGGGAAACAAUGGAAAUUCUUGCGAAAAAAAAUAACAAAUGCAACAAUUAAUAUUUCUAAACAUAAAUUUAAUUGAUUUUCAUUAUCUCGAUUUUUUGUGUCAAUCAUCUGAAAAUAGUAAUCAAAAGUUUAAUCUCUCCUGACACAUGUAUUUGUUAUUCCAUAACAAAUUAUGAGUUCAGAUUAAAUUUGGCUGUGGUGAACUGUACUGCAUGUUCGUCCUUGGUAAAGAUCACGAUUCAGCCAUAGACCAAAUUUUCUACUGGAAGAAAAAAAAAAGGAUAAGAAAAUGUGAAUAAACAUUGCUACAUUGAUAAAGUUCAACAAAAACAAGUAAAUGUUCACAAAUAACAAGAAUAAGUGAUACAUUUAAAAGAGCACAAAAAUAAGUAACACAAGCACCAUAUCGUGCUCUUUAAGUGUUGAAAUUCAUUUACACUCAAUGAUUUGUAAAUCUAAUUGAAGUUGUAAUUCAUAAUGUUUUUUCAUUAUCAUAGGAUUCAUCAUUGUUGAAGCAUAAUAUCAUGUAGAUGGUCUCGAUGUUUGGUUUUUUCUUUUUUUCAUUUUGUUACUGGUUCAAGUGCACGGGUACUUGAUGAUUGUUAAAUUGUCAAAUAGUUUAUAAAUAGUUUGAUUCAUUUUUAAAACACUAGUUAACACAAACUAAAAACGACGACGUACCUUAUGACACACUCAUCAAUCAAUACACACACACAAACACUUAAAUAGCAAUUAAAUAUGAAAGUAUCAUUAUUUCUUUAAACUACGUCUUUUUUUUUUUUUUUCUUUUGUAAUUUGACCUAGUCACAGAAAUUUCUCCUAAUCUAUUUAAUUUUCUUUUUAUAAACAUUUUUUUUUUAUAUUAUUAUUAUACUUAAUUUUUUUUUUUUUUUUGAUUAUUUUUAUUUUUUGAAAUAACUAUCAAGUUAUUUUUUUUUUUCUAUUUAUUGUGAUAAAUUUAUUUCAAUUGAAAUUUCAUCAUCAAUCACUUAGUAUUUAUAAUGAAAAUAAUAAUAAUAAUAAUAUAUGUAUUUAUUGGAAUUAUUAAUGUAAAAUUAAUCAAUUGUUGAUUAGUAUUUUAAGUCAUAUAUAAAUACAUACUUGGAGACGAAAAAAAUAAAAAAAAAAAGCGAAAUAUUGGAGUGUAAAAAAAGUAUAAAAAUAUGUUAUCAAUGUAAGAAUAAAUAAAAUUGUUGUAUAAAAAAAAACCAAGAAA